AGGUCAAGGUAUUAAGGGCGUACGGUGGAUGCCUUGGCGCCAGGAGGCGAAGAAGGACGCGGCCAGCGGCGAAACGCCACGGCGAGC
rnacentral:rRNA from 1 species